rnacentral:rRNA from 1 species
GAUGAACGCUGGCGGCGUGCCUAAUACAUGCAAGUCGAGCGAACGGACGAGAAGCUUGCUUCUCUGAUGUUAGCGGCGGACGGGUGAGUAACACGUGGAUAACCUACCUAUAAGACUGGGAUAACUUCGGGAAACCGGAGCUAAUACCGGAUAAUAUUUUGAACCGCAUGGUUCAAAAGUGAAAGACGGUCUUGCUGUCACUGAUAGAUGGAUCCGCGCUGCAUUAGCUAGUUGGUAAGGUAACGGCUUACCAAGGCAACGAUGCAUAGCCGACCUGAGAGGGUGAUCAGCCACACUGGAACUGAGACACGGUCCAGACUCCUACGGGAGGCAGCAGUAGGGAAUCUUGCGCAAUGGGCGAAAGCCUGACGGAGCAACGCCGCGUGAGUGAUGAAGGUCUUCGGAUCGUAAAACUCUGUUAUUAGGGAAGAACAUAUGUGUAAGUAACUGUGCACAUCUUGACGGUACCUAAUCAGAAAGCCACGGCUAACUACGUG